ACUCAAAGGAAUAGACGGGAGCCCGCACAAGCGGUGGAGCGUGUGGUUUAAUUCGAUGAUAAGCGAAGAACCUUACCAAGGUUAGAAAUUCGGCUGCACACCCCAAGAAACUGGGGAGCCUUCGAGGGUGCCGAACAGGUGCUGCAUGGUUGUCGUCAGCUCGUGGUGUGAACUGUUCCCUUCAGUGGGGUAACGAGCGCAACCCUUGUCGUGUGUUGUUUUUCACACGAGACUGCCGUGGUUAACACGGAGGAAGGCGGGGAUGACGUCAAAUCAGCAUGGUCCUCUGACACCUUGGGCGACACACGCGCUACAAUGGUUGGGACAGCGAGUUAUACGCCACUGCGCAAGCAGGAGCUAAUCUUUCAAACCCAAUCUCAGUUCGGAUUGAGGGCUGCAACUCGCCCUCAUGAAGCUGGAAUCGCUAGUAACCGCGGAUCAGCCACGCCGCGGUGAAUACGUUCUCGGGCUUUGUACACACCGCCCGU
rnacentral:rRNA from 1 species